rnacentral:rRNA from 1 species
AGACUAUGAGGAGGGCACCUGGGGAACUGAAACAUCUAAUUACCCAGAGGAAAAGUAAUCAAACGAGAUUUUCUUAGUAGCGGCGAGCGAACGGGAAAGAGGCCAAACCGGAGCGGGCAACCGCACCGGGGUUGAGGACAGUCAUCAAGUGUAAAUGAGGUAGAAGAAUCGAGUUGGAAAACUCAGCCGCAGAAGGUGAAAGCCCUGUAAUCGAAACCUUGCAUACAUGGGACUGUAUCCAGAGUACCACGAGACACGUGAAACCUUGUGGGAAGCAGGGGGGACCACCCUCCAAGCCAAAAUACUGAUAUCGACCGAUAGCGCAUAGUACCGUGAGGGAAAGGUGAAAAGAACCCCUGGCGGGGAGUGAAAGAGAACCUGAAACCGUAUGUCUACAAACAGUCGAAGUCUGUAUAUAUAUCAGGACGACGGCGUGCCUAUUGAAGAAUGAACCGACGAGUUACUGUUGCUAGCGAGGUUAAGUGGAAAACAUGGAGCCGCAGCGAAAGCGAGUCUGAACAGGGCGUUCAGUUAGUGAUAGUAGACCCGAAACCGUAGUGAUCUAUCCAUGGCCAGGUUGAAGCACAGGUAAAAUUGUGUGGAGGACCGAACUCGUGAGCGUUGAAAAGCUUUGGGAUGAGUUGUGGAUAGGGGUGAAAUGCCAAUCGAACACGGAGAUAGCUGGUUCUCCCCGAAAUAGCUUUAGGGCUAGCCUCGAGGUUGAGAGUAUAGGCGGUAGAGCACUGAUCGGGCUAGGGGCCAUACCGGUUACCGAACCUAGUCAAACUACGAAUGGCUAUACUUAUACUCGGGAGUCAGACAGUGAAUGAUAAGGUCCAUUGUCAAGAGGGAAACAGCCCAGAACACCGACUAAGGUCCCAAAUGUUACACUAAGUGGCGAAGGAUGUGGAAUUUCCAAAACAACCAGGAUGUUGGCUUAGAAGCAGCCACCAUUUAAAGAGUGCGUAAUAGCUCACUGGUCGAGAGACUCUGCGCCGAAGAUGUCCGGGGCUAAAGUGUAAAACCGACGUCGUGUCAUAUGCAGCAAUGUAUAUGGGUAGGGGAGCGUUCUCAUCGGGCUGAAGCAGUACCGUAAGGAGUUGUGGACUGAUGAGAAGUGAGAAUGUCGGUAUGAGUAGCGAAAAGAAUGGUGAGAAUCCAUUCCACCGAAAGCCUAAGGGUUCCUGAGCAACGAUCGUCGUCUCAGGGUAAGUCGGGACCUAAGCCGAGGCGGAAAAGCGUAGGCGAUGGACAACAGGUUGAAAUUCCUGUACCGGUGUGAAUCGUUUGAUCGAAGGAGUGACACAGUAAGGUAGGUCAGCACGCGAUUGGAAGUGCGUGUUUAAGCAGGUAGGUUGAGCUAUAGGCAAAUCCGUAGCUCUAAAAGCUGAGAUGUGAUGACGAGUUACUAGCGAUAGUAACGAAGUGAUUGAUCCUACACUGUCGAGAAAAGCUUCUAGGUAGAGACACAUCGCCCGUACCAAAACCGACACAGGUAGGCGGGGAGAGAAUCCUAAGGUGCGCGGGGAAACCCUCGUUAAGGAACUCGGCAAAAUGCCUCCGUAACUUCGGGAAAAGGAGGACUCAUGUAGUGUGAAGGGCAGUAACGCGUGG